rnacentral:misc_RNA from 1 species
GCUCCUCCCAUCCUCCAAAAGAGCAGAAUUAACCAACUGACGCUUUCACGGUGCCGUUGCCGCCGCGCCCCUCUGCUCCCCGGCUGCCCUCGCGGGCGGCGGUGCUGCUGAGCGGCCGCUGCGGCUGCGGUGCGUGCGUGAUGCCGAGCGGUGCUGAAUGGCAAAGACUCUGCGCUUGUGUGUGUGCGUGUACGCCGGGCAAGGCUUCCUCUCCGCUCCCCGCCGUGCGGCUGCCAGCAACCGAGAUGAAGCUGAUAUGGUCCGUGUUUCAGAUCCGCGUGACGCAAGUUUCUCUCCUAGUACAUAUCUUCUGAGUUGCUGCUGGCGGCGCGCGCGCAUGUGUAUCUGUGCGUGUGUGUGUGUGUGUGCGGCGCCUGCUGCCGAGCGCUGCCCCUCUAGAUCCCUGCUUUCGCUGCCCGCAGCACGGCGUUGUCGGUUGGGCGUGACUCCUUGCACCUCGUAGGUACGACCCUAUCUCGCAACCCCCAGAUUCGCGAGCCCCUGUGCGCGGCGGCUGUGCCGAGUUAUCGAAGACGCAUCACCUUAACCCCUCCCUGCCCUCCCCACUUUAGCCGCUGCGGCUGGCGUGCCGGUGCGCGCGUGCGUCGUGCGAGCUUUGCUGAUGAUGCGUGAGGAGCGCUCCUCCCAUCCUCCAAAAGAGCAGAAUUAACCAACUGACGCUUUCACGGUGCCGUUGCCGCCGCGCCCCUCUGCUCCCCGGCUGCCCUCGCGGGCGGCGGUGCUGCUGAGCGGCCGCUGCGGCUGCGGUGCGUGCGUGAUGCCGAGCGGUGCUGAAUGGCAAAGACUCUGCGCUUGUGUGUGUGCGUGUACGCCGGGCAAGGCUUCCUCUCCGCUCCCCGCCGUGCGGCUGCCAGCAACCGAGAUGAAGCUGAUAUGGUCCGUGUUUCAGAUCCGCGUGACGCAAGUUUCUCUCCUAGUACAUAUCUUCUGAGUUGCUGCUGGCGGCGCGCGCGCAUGUGUAUCUGUGCGUGUGUGUGUGUGUGUGCGGCGCCUGCUGCCGAGCGCUGCCCCUCUAGAUCCCUGCUUUCGCUGCCCGCAGCACGGCGUUGUCGGUUGGGCGUGACUCCUUGCACCUCGUAGGUACGACCCUAUCUCGCAACCCCCAGAUUCGCGAGCCCCUGUGCGCGGCGGCUGUGCCGAGUUAUCGAAGACGCAUCACCUUAACCCCUCCCUGCCCUCCCCACUUUAGCCGCUGCGGCUGGCGUGCCGGUGCGCGCGUGCGUCGUGCGAGCUUUGCUGAUGAUGCGUGAGGAGCGCUCCUCCCAUCCUCCAAAAGAGCAGAAUUAACCAACUGACGCUUUCACGGUGCCGUUGCCGCCGCGCCCCUCUGCUCCCCGGCUGCCCUCGCGGGCGGCGGUGCUGCUGAGCGGCCGCUGCGGCUGCGGUGCGUGCGUGAUGCCGAGCGGUGCUGAAUGGCAAAGACUCUGCGCUUGUGUGUGUGCGUGUACGCCGGGCAAGGCUUCCUCUCCGCUCCCCGCCGUGCGGCUGCCAGCAACCGAGAUGAAGCUGAUAUGGUCCGUGUUUCAGAUCCGCGUGACGCAAGUUUCUCUCCUAGUACAUAUCUUCUGAGUUGCUGCUGGCGGCGCGCGCGCAUGUGUAUCUGUGCGUGUGUGUGUGUGUGUGCGGCGCCUGCUGCCGAGCGCUGCCCCUCUAGAUCCCUGCUUUCGCUGCCCGCAGCACGGCGUUGUCGGUUGGGCGUGACUCCUUGCACCUCGUAGGUACGACCCUAUCUCGCAACCCCCAGAUUCGCGAGCCCCUGUGCGCGGCGGCUGUGCCGAGUUAUCGAAGACGCAUCACCUUAACCCCUCCCUGCCCUCCCCACUUUAGCCGCUGCGGCUGGCGUGCCGGUGCGCGCGUGCGUCGUGCGAGCUUUGCUGAUGAUGCGUGAGGAGCGCUCCUCCCAUCCUCCAAAAGAGCAGAAUUAACCAACUGACGCUUUCACGGUGCCGUUGCCGCCGCGCCCCUCUGCUCCCCGGCUGCCCUCGCGGGCGGCGGUGCUGCUGAGCGGCCGCUGCGGCUGCGGUGCGUGCGUGAUGCCGAGCGGUGCUGAAUGGCAAAGACUCUGCGCUUGUGUGUGUGCGUGUACGCCGGGCAAGGCUUCCUCUCCGCUCCCCGCCGUGCGGCUGCCAGCAACCGAGAUGAAGCUGAUAUGGUCCGUGUUUCAGAUCCGCGUGACGCAAGUUUCUCUCCUAGUACAUAUCUUCUGAGUUGCUGCUGGCGGCGCGCGCGCAUGUGUAUCUGUGCGUGUGUGUGUGUGUGUGCGGCGCCUGCUGCCGAGCGCUGCCCCUCUAGAUCCCUGCUUUCGCUGCCCGCAGCACGGCGUUGUCGGUUGGGCGUGACUCCUUGCACCUCGUAGGUACGACCCUAUCUCGCAACCCCCAGAUUCGCGAGCCCCUGUGC